UUCAUUCAAAGGCUUUUAAAUUCAUCCAUUCAUGCAUAUUCAUGCAAGAAGCCAAAUAGUCAUGUUCACACAAGGGGGAAGAAUUUAAGCCAAGAUACAUUCACGAACAUUCAUUCAUAGAAGACAAAUCAACAAGUUCACACAAGGGCUUGGAUUCAUUCAA